GUAGAAGGUGGGAAGCAG
rnacentral:misc_RNA from 1 species